AUUUACAUAGCUUAUAAAAAGAGUAUAAUAUUGAAGAUAUUAAGGAAAAUAAAUUUAUUUUGUAAAUA
rnacentral:tRNA from 1 species